AAACACCAGAUUGGCUGGAGGAGGAGGGAAGGACAACGCCACAUUACACUUCACAACUUAUUGAAUGCCUGCCUUCUGUUGCUUGGGCAGUCCUUUGAGGUGG